rnacentral:rRNA from 1 species
UACACUCCUACGGGAGGCAGCAGUGGGGAAUUUUGGACAAUGGGCGAAAGCCUGAUCCAGCAAUGCCGCGUGUGUGAAGAAGGCCUUCGGGUUGUAAAGCACUUUUGUCCGGAAAGAAAUCCUUGGCUCUAAUACAGUCGGGGGAUGACGGUACCGGAAGAAUAAGCACCGGCUAACUACGUGCCAGCAGCCGCGGUAAUACGUAGGGUGCGAGCGUUAAUCGGAAUUACUGGGCGUAAAGCGUGCGCAGGCGGUUUGCUAAGACCGAUGUGAAAUCCCCGGGCUCAACCUGGGAACUGCAUUGGUGACUGGCAGGCUAGAGUAUGGCAGAGGGGGGUAGAAUUCCACGUGUAGCAGUGAAAUGCGUAGAGAUGUGGAGGAAUACCGAUGGCGAAGGCAGCCCCCUGGGCCAAUACUGACGCUCAUGCACGAAAGCGUGGGGAGCAAACAGGAUUAGAAACCCCAGUAGUCC